AAUAUUCAGCUCUCAUGGUGCUUGCACGGCAACAUGCACUUCUGCCCCAAGCAACAGGGAGGGGUGGGCUCCAAGUUGCCCCCCGGCAAGUAGGUGCUGAAACCCAGAACAGACAUAUACCACUUUACUCUGAACGUGCAGGAGGUGCAGCUCAAUCCUCUGCCUAACUGUUGGGAGAACCAGGAAUUGGGGAAAACGCUUCACGCCUAGCGCACAGAUCUUCUAGAACCAUGUCAAGAAACAACGUCGUCUCUCCCUGUCUAUAGAUACUGGGAUUUCCUUUGCCCCCACAAGAAAGAAGUCAGCUCGUCUGCUCUGGCAUGUUCACAGUUACAUGGCUGCUCAGAUACUCCCAACAAUAGUCUAAGCCAGGCUUUAUGAUAUUAUAUGGACCCCAGUUAAUAAUAAAUCAAGUCCUGGAGACAAGGAGCCAGCUAAUCAGUUAGGUUUGUUCUUGGUUGCAUAGAAUGGAUGUCUUAGGAAUAGGCAUAUUAUAAUGGAAUUCAAAUCCCAGCUCUACAUCACAAUGGAGGAAUCGUGUUGGGAAGUGUGCCCUUUCGUCAGGUAGAAACAGAAUCAAGGCCAUCCUACACUAUAAAAUGAAGAUAGUUAUUGAUUCCCUCCCGAACAUCCUUCCCUCCUCUAUGAUUCACUUAUACAAUAUUCGCUCGGGACCACAGAGUUCCUCCAGGAGUGCUAAUAACAAUACGCCUGACCACAGUAACAAACACUCAUGCGGGAAUGUUAUUAGACCUCGGGCACCGUUCUAAGUAUAUCUGACUUUCACGGAAGCACCCUGAGGUAAGUUCUACUCUUUGCCCCCUUCCAUAUGAGGAAACUGAAGCACGAGGAAGUAAAAGAGCCCGCCCCAAAACACACGACAGGUAGUGGGGACGGAACCCAGACCACAGCACUCUGGCCCCCGAGGCCUCGGCCUCUUUCACUGCCCACCUGCAUCAUGCUGUGGUGUUUCAGGUCAAUUACUGAUAAGUCUCAAGAAAAUUACAUCAGGGUCAUCGCUGCCAUUUACCAGUGCACAUCUUGCCCAAGGCCACAAGUUGUGAGUACCAAAUGGGGAUUUGAACUUGGUAUUGGACACAACUCCAUAGCCAUGGGUGUUGCCAGCAUGUCAAGCCGCUGCUUGCUUUACUGUCAUAAAACCUACACACCAAGUGCUUUUUUGCCAGUAGGAGCAAUUUGUUUCUUCCCACAUCGCCCUACUUUCCGUUGCAUUUCACUCUCCAGCCUUCUUACAAAGAGCGCGCAAGCCCCAGACAAUCGCUUCCUUGGGCCAUGCCAAUAAUGCCUACUGCCUUGACCUUGCUUUGAAGAUCUUUGUCUGCCUUGGGUUUUUAACUCUCCUCAGAGAAGUGAUUUAAUUCAGACCCUCUUUCCUAAAGGAACUUGAAUCCCUGAAAACUGACACUCAUAUUUCCUGUUAUUUACCAGAUUCUACGCUCUCUGGGUGCUAAUUUGCCCUUGAGAUAUCCUAGCAGGCUUACGCCAAGCUCAGCGGACCGAAGCCUCCCUUGUCCCAAGUUGCGCCUACCCAUGGCGGCACGUUUUGCUCGGAAGUUGAGGAAACGUGGAGCUAUUGCCAUCACUGGCAAAUCAGCUUUCGAUGAAAUAUUCAAGACAGCUAGAAGCUAAGCAGGAUAACUGAAUUCACAACCAUUUGCUACAGGACCAUAAUUUAAUGGCAGCAUUAUAAUUUGCUAAAUACCAUUACCGUGGCACCGGGUCCUAUUAAUCAAAAACAGGAAAAGCUGUACACAGCAAUUUCUCUUUACUAUUUGUAGUGGCUUAUUACUGGUGCUUACCUCUAGAGUAGAUGUUACCUUUUUAGCUUCCAUAAUCAAAUACUCUAAAAAUAAGUCAAAUUUGAUUAC